AGUGAACGCUGGCGGCAUGCCUAACACAUGCAAGUCGAACGGCAGCACAGUAAGAGCUUGCUCUUACGGGUGGCGAGUGGCGGACGGGUGAGGAAUACAUCGGAAUCUACUUUUUCGUGGGGGAUAACGUAGGGAAACUUACGCUAAUACCGCAUACGACCUACGGGUGAAAGCAGGGGAUCUUCGGACCUUGCGCGAUUGAAUGAGCCGAUGUCGGAUUAGCUAGUUGGCGGGGUAAAGGCCCACCAAGGCGACGAUCCGUAGCUGGUCUGAGAGGAUGAUCAGCCACACUGGAACUGAGACACGGUCCAGACUCCUACGGGAGGCAGCAGUGGGGAAUAUUGGACAAUGGGCGCAAGCCUGAUCCAGCCAUACCGCGUGGGUGAAGAAGGCCUUCGGGUUGUAAAGCCCUUUUGUUGGGAAAGAAAAGCAGCAGGUUAAUACCCCGCUGUGAUGACGGUACCCAAAGAAUAAGCACCGGCUAACUUCGUG
rnacentral:rRNA from 1 species